rnacentral:rRNA from 1 species
AUUGAACGCUGGCGGCAGGCUUAACACAUGCAAGUCGAGCGGAGCGAGGGUGCUUGCACCUUAGCUUAGCGGCGGACGGGUGAGUAAUGCUUAGGAAUCUGCCUAUUAGUGGGGGACAACAUUCCGAAAGGAAUGCUAAUACCGCAUACGCCCUCCGGGGGAAGGCAGGGGAUCUUCGGACCUUGCGCUAAUAGAUGAGCCUAAGUCGGAUUAGCUAGUUGGUGGGGUAAAGGCCUACCAAGGCGACGAUCUGUAGCGGGUCUGAGAGGAUGAUCCGCCACACUGGGACUGAGACACGGCCCAGACUCCUACGGGAGGCAGCAGUGGGGAAUAUUGGACAAUGGGCGGAAGCCUGAUCCAGCCAUGCCGCGUGUGUGAAGAAGGCCUUUUGGUUGUAAAGCACUUUAAGCGAGGAGGAGGCUACUUAGAUUAAUACUCUAGGAUAGUGGACGUUACUCGCAGAAUAAGCACCGGCUAACUCUGUGCCAGCCGCCGCCGUAAUAC